UCCUACGGGGGGCAGCAGUGGGGAAUAUUGCACAAUGGGGGAAACCCUGAUGCAGCGACGCCGCGUGAGCGAUGAAGUAUUUCGGUAUGUAAAGCUCUAUCAGCAGGGAAGAAAAUGACGGUACCUGACUAAGAAGCCCCGGCUAACUACGUGCCAGCAGCCGCGGUAAUACGUAGGGAGCGAGCGUUGUCCGGAUUUACUGGGUGUAAAGGGCGUGCAGCCGGGAGUACAAGUCAGAUGUGAAAUCCCGCGGCUCAACCGCGGUACUGCAUUUGAAACUGUAUUUCUUGAGUACUGGAGAGGCA
rnacentral:rRNA from 1 species